GUACUCUGCGAAGCCCUGGGCCUUCUUCCUCAAGAAUGGAACUGUGCCCUUAUAUGAUUUUGUUGGAAGAUUUUAUGUACUUGAAAAGCUUGGCUCUAAGGUGGUUCCAGAUUAAAAUGUCCUUGGUCAGCCGGUUUCAUGGAGCAGUGAAGUCUUUUGAGUCGCUAGGAGGCUUAAUCUUAGUAAGUGUUGGCUCAAGAGUGUGAUAUCACGUUUAACAAUGGCCUCAAAUCUGGCAAGAAUACCCGCUGAUCUUAAGCAUAUCAAUAAGCGGAGGAAAAGAGACUAUCAAGGAUUCUCCUAGUAACGGCGAGUGAAGAGUGAAGAGCUCAAAUUUUAAAUCUGCCUUGUUUCAAGGUCGAGUUGUAAUUUGAAGAAGCGUUUUCUUGGGCUCGCGGCCGGUAGAAGUUCUUUGGAGCAGGACAUCAUAGAGGGUGACAAUCCCGUCUGCGACCGGUCGUGCGUUCAUAUACGAUACGCUUUCAAAGAGUCGAGUUGUUUGGGAUUGCAGCUCCAAAUGGGUGGUAAACAUCACAUAAGGCUAAAUAUUGGCGAGAGACCGAUAGCGAACAAGUACCGUGAGGGAAAGAUGAAAAGAACUUUGAAAAGAGAGUUAAACAGUACGUGAAAUUGUUGAAAGGGAAACGAUUGAAGUCAGUCGUGCUGGCGCGAAAUCAACCUUCUCGUCUCGAGAUCACAUGGCGUGGCGAGCCUCAAAACCGUCACGAAGCGUGAACUCUUGGUGAAACGGAGCACUUUCGUGUCCGCUGGUUAACAUCAAUUUCGAACGUCAUAAAAAGGCUGGAGGGAUGUGGCUCCUUCGGGAGUGUUAUAACCUUUAGCGGAAUGUGGUGGUCGGGAUUGAGGAUUGCAACGAAUACCUUUAGGGCUGUUCCACCUGGCUUCUCUUUGGUAUCCUGGUGACGACACGCUUGCUGACGUUUGUUAGGAUUCGCCUUUGAACAGGCUAGAGUGUGAGCAAAUUCGUUAAGGAUGUUAACGUAAUGGC
rnacentral:rRNA from 1 species